rnacentral:rRNA from 1 species
UACGAAGGGGGCUAGCGUUGCUCGGAAUUACUGGGCGUAAAGCGCACGUAGGCGGCCUAUUAAGUCAGGGGUGAAAUCCCGGGGCUCAACCCCGGAACUGCCUUUGAUACUGGUAGUCUCGAGUCCGGAAGAGGUGAGUGGAAUUCCGAGUGUAGAGGUGAAAUUCGUAGAUAUCGGGAGGAACACCAGUGGCGAAGGCAGCUCGCUGGGACGGUACUGACGCUGAGACGCGAAAGCGUGGGGAGCGAACAGG